rnacentral:tmRNA from 1 species
GGGGCUGACUUGGCUUUGACAGCGUGUAGAGGUGGUAAGUAAGCAUGCAGAGCUAUGUCGCUAAUGCUCUAUAAUAUCUGCGUCGCAAAUUCUAAAUGGCGAAAACAACUACGCUCUCGCUGCUUGAUCUGAAGUACAGUAGGAUCGCUUUAUCUUAGCCCAAGGGGCUGAGACGAGACAUUACCCGGUGGCCCUUUCUGCGAGGCUUAUCGGUAUGGUAGUGCUAAUGUAUCGGAGAUAGAGAACAACUUGUCUCGCGUUGCUCUCGAAGUUUAGAGACUAAGCCUAAGGUUGGUAGUCUUGAGCCUGCCUUCGGUCGAAAAUCAAGUCUAGACUAAGCAUGUAGAAAGCUUAUUAGUUCCGCGUUUGGACGAGGGUUCAAACCCCUCCAGCUCCACUG